rnacentral:rRNA from 1 species
CGAGCACGCGCGUGUGGCAUAUCAAUAAGCGGAGGAAAAGAAACUAACAAGGAUUCCCCUAGUAACGGCGAGUGAAGCGGGAAGAGCUCAAAGUUGAAAUCUUAAAGGGUUUCCCUUUACGAAUUGUAGUUUAAAGAAGUGUUUUCUGUUGGAGUUUCGGUAAAAGUUCUUUGGAAUAGGACAUCAUAGAGGGUGAGAAUCCCGUAUUUGACCAGUUACUUUCCAGCUUUGUGAUACACUUUCAAAGAGUCGGAUUGUUUGGGAAUGCAGUCCAAAAUGGGUGGUAAAUUUCAUCUAAAGCUAAAUAUUGGCGAGAGACCGAUAGCGAGCAAGUACCGUGAGGGAAAGAUGAAAAGAACUUUGAAAAGAGAGUUAAACAGUACGUGAAAUUGUCAAAAGGGAAGCGUUUGACACCAGUGUUGUUUUUCCGAAAAUCGAUUACGAAUGUUUUGUUUUUAAGGAGUUAUGACUUCAUCGGCUUGCUUCUUUCUUUACGAAACUUUCUUAAUGCACUUUUCGGUUAACAAGUCAACAUCAAUUUCUUUUGUUGUAAAAGGGUAUGAGGAAGGUGGCUUUCUUUUCGGAGAAAGUGUUUAUAGCCUUGUACCUCUGCAAUCGGAGAGAUUGAGGUCUGCAGCGUAGAUCCUUCGGGAUUAGAUACAUUUGUACUAAGUUAUAGCUUUUCAUAGACAACUUGUUGACUAUGUUAGUCUUGUAGCUUACUCGCUUAUGCUAUUUUACCUACGCUUAGGAUGUUGAUGUGAUACUGCGAGCA